GUGGACAAGAGGCACCACAGCUUCUUAUCCGCCGAGCACCAGACGGAGCUAGGAGUGUUUCGACCACAGGGCCCUGUAGAGCUGCUUACGAUCGACGAGCGAUGGAAGCAUAGGUUGGCAGUGGCAGGACUCCUACCCCUUUGCCGUUUGGUUGAGGCUCGAUCGACGGAGAACCCCCGAGGCAGUGGCGCGUCAUUUCUACUUUGACUAGUCGCUGAUAGCAGCCCUGGUCGACCGAUGGAGGCCAGAGACACAUACGUUCCAUCUCUCGUGCGGUGAGAUGACCCUGACCUUACAGGGCGUAGCCUACCUCUUAGGCCUACCUUGCGCGGGAGCUGCGGUUUGGGUCAUCGAUAUGGAUGCUGACUGGAUAAACGUCAUGCAUCAGCGCUUUGGCCUGGUUGAGCGGAAGGCAGACGCACCCCCCUACGUGCCUGAGUUUUUGUCCGAUGCACGAGGGCCAACGAAGAAGUGGAUCCUACAGUUUCAGUCGGCGUACAUACACUCCGAGGCCAACGCAUACUCAGUCUCCAGGCAUUUGGAUACCUAUCUGCUUUGGUUGUUUGGGUGGGUUAUGUUCACCAGCGGUCAAGGCCACCUGGUUGUGAGGACGCUUGUGCCGUACGUCAGGUUGAUAGCGGAUGCUGAUGUCGAGGAGGUACCGCAGUUCAGUUAGGCAUCUGCUAUCCUUGCUGCGACGUAUCGGGCGCUUUGCGACGCGUGCACAAAGAAAGAGCCAUUAGCCACUUUUGCCGGGUGUCCACUUCUUCUGCAGCUGUGGUCCUACGAGCGUUUCGCUAUAGGCAGGCCAAUGGUGGACCGCUCCUUGUACCCCGAGGAAUG